AAAAAGACAACAUGUUCUUGGAGGAGCUGAGAAAAAUCCUUUUUCUCCACUAAAAUUACUUCCGCCUUCAUCUUAGAUGGGAAAGGCUUUGCCUAAACACUGGCUCCUCUGCAAGGAGUGGAACUGGAGGAGGAGGAAGGUGCAAAAGUGACCUAUGGUGUUCUGAAGAUCUGUGCAAAGAAAAUGCAACCUGCAAACACAAACCUCACUGCAAGCACAGGGAAAAAAAAUCUGCAGAAGUGCAAAACACCAACAGUAAUCAAUAGCCCAUGUCCUGGAAGCAUAAACCUUCAGCAUCAGCAACAUCUUGCAGCAAGGAGUUCCUCCUGUUAACGCGGCACGAUGUUGCACUGUGUUUGCAUGAUUCUGCCAAGUGCUUGGCUUUUUGGUGAGCAAGAUGAUGAGAACAGGUUUGGAUCAGCAGAAAACAAAAGGAGCAGAGAAGGAAGAGACAGGAAAAAGUUAUUUCUCUGUAUUUGAACAGAGUGAAACAGAGAAGAAAGAGUGAAUAGGGGAACAAAUAUGCAAAAUUGCCUUCAAUAACUGAUUUAACCAAGUAAA